CCAAUAGCGUAUAUUAAAGUUGCUGCAGUUAAAAAGCUCGUAGUUGAAUUUCGGGACUGAUAUGUCGGUCGUGCCUCGGUACGUACUGGUAUUUUUGGUUUCUCCCUUCUGACGAACCUUGAUGUCAUUAAUUUGGUGUCUUGGGAAAUCAGGACUGUUACUUUGAAAAAAUUAGGGUGUUUAAAGCAGGCUCACGCUUGAAUACAUUAGCAUGGAAUAAUGAAAUAGGACGUUUGAUUCUAUUUUGUUGGUUUCUAGGAUCGACGUAAUGAUUAAUAGGGAUAGUUGGGGGCAUUAUUAUUCAAUUGUCAGAGGUGAAAUUCUUGGAUUUAUUGAAGACUAACUACUGCGAAAGCAUUUGCCAAGGAUGUUUUCAUUAAUCAAGAACGAAAGUUAGGGGAUCGAAGACGAUCAGACACCGUCGUAGUCUUAACCAUAAACUAUGCCGACUAGGGAUCGGAUGAUGUUAAUUUUUUAAUGACUCAUUCGGCGCCUUACG
rnacentral:rRNA from 1 species